rnacentral:rRNA from 1 species
UACAGAGGUGGCAAGCGUUGUUCGGAAUUACUGGGCGUAAAGGGCGCGUAGGCGGUUCGAUAAGUCCUGUGUGAAAUCCCUCGGCUCAACUGAGGAACUGCACGGGAGACUGUCGGGCUUGAGUUCGGGAGAGGGAAGCGGAAUUCCAGGUGUAGCGGUGAAAUGCGUAGAUAUCUGGAGGAAUACCGGUGGCGAAGGCGGCAUCCUGGACCGACAUUGACGCUGAUGAGCGAAAGCUAGGGGAGCAAACGGG